UACGUAGGGUGCGAGCGUUGUCCGGAAUUAUUGGGCGUAAAGAGCUUGUAGGCGGUUUGUCGCGUCUGCUGUGAAAAUCCGGGGCUCAACCCCGGACUUGCAGUGGGUACGGGCAGGCUAGAGUGUGGUAGGGGAGACUGGAAUUCCUGGUGUAGCGGUGGAAUGCGCAGAUAUCAGGAGGAACACCGAUGGCGAAGGCAGGUCUCUGGGCCAUUACUGACACUGAGAAGCGAAAGCAUGGGGAGCGAACAGG
rnacentral:rRNA from 1 species